GAGGGUAUAGCUCAGUAGUAGAGCACAUGCUUAGCAUGCACGAGGUCCUGGGUUCAAUUCCCAGUACCUUCA
rnacentral:tRNA from 1 species